ensembl:lncRNA
GAGGAAACAGCCAGAGCAAAUUCCAUAACAGUCUCCAUCUGUGCCGCCUGGCUGUUUUGCUCACAAGCACUUUUGCAAGCACUGGGAUGGCAAGGAUGGAGGCUGGCUAACAUCAGCUGGAUGAGCCGUACCAUCUGCCUGCUUGUUUAAUGCCUUGCUUGUGGCAGAAGCUCUCUGAUAGACACCAUCGUGCCAUGGAAAGAUUCUCGCGCUUUGUGUCCACUUCUCUUCAUAACCAAGAAUGAUUGAAAACAGGAGAAAGAAUUGCUGUCAAAGAUUAUACAGUACAAUGGAGUUGUACAGUGGGGCUCAAGAAUAUAAAUGUUAGCAGCAAAUCUCUGGCCACUUGAUAAUGAGAAAAACUAGUGUUUGAGUGUGGAUAUCACCAUCAGUGUUCG